rnacentral:piRNA from 1 species
GGCAAACACAGUUGGAUUUAUGGAGCC